rnacentral:tRNA from 1 species
GGGGUUGUGGUUUAGUGGUAGAACGCUCACCUUGCAUGUGUGAGGCACUGGGGGUUCGAUACUCAGCACCA